UUCUGAAUUGAAACCCUUUGUAAAACCUUCUGCUUUCUCACGGUUACAACUUUUUGUAUUUGCUUUCCUUUUGUUACACGGUUUCAAAUUCCUUUCUUCCAUGUUUUGUUUCACCGUAUCAGCUUUUGUUUUGCUUUCUAAUGGCAGCCUCUUGGUCUUCCUUCUGUCUUUCCUCUCCUCACAGUAUAUUAGUACUAUCAUAAGCUGGGUGAUUGAGUUAAGUGUACAAUAUAAGGAAGUUUGACUUGAAAUUCAAAACAAAUUGAACAAGUGGGUUAGCCUAUUUUUUCUUUUGAGAUCAAAUUAUAAUGGUCAACUGGAACCAUAACUUGUGUAUGUAUCCGCAAUUGUUGAUUGCGUAUAUUCAGUAUCACCAUCGACAAUGCAUCAAUUGCUGAAGCAGUUACUUCAACACUUUUAUAGAUUUUGAGAUUUGUGCAAGAAAUUGAAGAGUCCAAUAAGGAAGAACAACUUGAAACUCGAAUUUGAUGCAUUUUUGCCUGAUAUCAAGUUAUGGAUUUUGCGACUAAUGGAGGAUAAAAGAUGUGCGGGGUUGACACGUGACGACCCAUGGAUGAUGCACUAGUUGCAAUAAUUGUGAUGAUCUUUUUGUAGCGGAUGUUAAGGUUAUCUAGUAGGAGAAGACAAGGAGGGAUUAGGUGGAAUUGGCAAGGACUGAAGGCUACCUUCUAGCAUUUCUUCUACCUUAGUCAUUGAUGGUCGGUUUGAUGGAAUGGUUUGAAUGCACCACAAACUUAUUAAAAUCAUCUUCCUUGCAAUUUCUUCUUCCUCUUCACUUGUAAUCCCAUCCAAUCUUAAAUCCUUACCUCUUUCAAGAUGCUCAUAAAUAUAAUAAGAAAAAUAUAUUUCACUGGUUUGAGACACUCCAGCAUCGAUAUUUUUUCUUCCUGCUACUAUUUCAAGAACCAUCAUUUCGUAGCUAUACACAUCAGACUUGUGAGAUAUUCUGCCAAUGUUUCUCUACUCCACUUCAGGAGCAAUAUAUCCAGCAGUCCCUCUAGCAUUCAUUGUUGAUACAAUACUAUCUUUCCUUUCAAACAGUUUCGCAAGGCCGAAAUCGGAGAUUUUGGGACAUAAAUUAUCAUCUAAGAGAAUGUUGUGAGGUUUUAUGUCAAAAUGCAGAAUCCUUGUGUUACAACCACGAUGUAAGUACUCUAAUUCUCGAGCAAUGCCUUUACAAUUUCAUUAUGUGUUUUCCAUUUUAGUAGACCAUUUUCACUUGACAAUCCUUGAGUAUAUAUGAACUUAUCCAAUGAUUUGUUGGACAUUUAUUCAUAAAUCAAUGCUCUUUUAAUUCUUCUCAUAAUAGAAACCUAGAAAAGCGACUACAUUAAUGCUAGCAAUCUCAUUAAUGAAUUCUUCUCCAUUACCCUAGGACUCACUUAGUACUUUCACAGCCACUAGACGACCAUCAAGUAGCAUUCCCUAAUACACAACACCGUAUCCUCCUUGGCCUAUUUUAUUUAUGACUGAGUUUGUCACUUUCUUCACAAACGAAUAACUAUAUCGCUUUGGGCAAGAGACCCAUAAUUCCUUAUAAAUGCCUUGAAUUUUUGCUCAUUUCUGGUCUUUCUUCCAUAAGAUCAUUGCCGCAUGAUAAGCAUUCUCUCUUAAAGUUGUAGAAAGCCACAAUCGAGAUUAAAAUAAUUCCAGCCACAACUGCUGAAAUGCCUGUAUGCAAAGAAUGGUUUAAGAAUUGUGUUUCACUAAUAAUAAUAAUCAUCAGGGCAACCAGGAAAAAAGUGAAAAAAGAAAAAAGGAAAAUGGAAAAAGGAAAAAGAAAAAAAGAAAAAGAAAAAAAGAAAAAAAGAAAAGAAAAAGAAAACAUGUAUAUCAGUAUUAAUAAGUAUAUGUUCAUUCUACAGACCAGAGGUAUUUACUUUCCAUUUCAUACAAGGGCCAGAUAGCAGAACUUAGUAAGAAAUACUUUUUGACAAACGUUCAAAAUACGUAUAGCAACUUUAACAGUUAAAUUGUGCUUUGAACUUGCGUCAGGAACAUAAGAAAAGUUAGACUUCUUUUUAUGAAGUGAAUGUUAGUAUUAAAAUUUAUGUUGGGGUUAAGAGAGAGUGUAAAAUAACAAAAAAAAAAAAAAAAAUUAAAGUAGUUUGGCCUGAUGGUUUGUAUCCAUAAUGAAAAGCCCUUAAGUGGUUAUAUUUUUAUAUUAUUUUAAAUUUGUGUGUUACAAUAAGCUCAUAAAAGGUAUAUACAGAGAGACUAAAUCUAAAAUACCCAUAGACUAACAUGGGGUUAUUUUACUUACUCUACAAGUAGGCUUAAUAUUACUUUCCUUACACUACGAAGAACAUUGAUAUCUCUAAUAUCCCCCCUUGUAUUGAUAUAUCUAACAUCCUCUACAUCGAAGUGAAAACUUAAAAUCCCCUUGAGUUUGGAAUAUGAAAAUGAGAACUAAAGUGCGACCAUGAAGGACGGGAUCAAAUGUAGAAUGGAAUAGGCAUUAUGUAAAGUGGAAUGCUCAAGAAAAA